UACGUAGGGGGCAAGCGUUGUCCGGAUUUAUUGGGCGUAAAGAGCGUGUAGGCGGCCAUACAGGUCCGUUGUGAAAACUGGAGGCUUAACCUCCAGACGUCGAUGGAAACCGUAUGGCUAGAGUCCGGAAGAGGGAGUGGAAUUCCUGGUGUAGCGGUGAAAUGCGCAGAUAUCAGGAAGAACACCCGUGGCGAAGGCGGCUCUCUGGGACGGUACUGACGCUGAGACGCGAAAGCGUGGGGAGCGAACAGG
rnacentral:rRNA from 1 species